UAAUACGGAGGGUGCUAGCGUUGUUCGGAAUUACUGGGCGUAAAGGGCGCGUAGGCGGCCGUUUGCGUCGGAUGUGAAAGCCCGGGGCUCAACCUCGGAACGGCAUUCGAUACGGGACGGCUGGAGACCGGGAGAGGAGAGUGGAAUAGCCAGUGUAGAGGUGAAAUUCGUAGAUAUUGGCUGGAACACCGGUGGCGAAAGCGGCUCUCUGGCCCGGUUCUGACGCUGAGGCGCGAAAGCGUGGGGAGCAAACAGGAUUAGAUACCCUGGUAGUCCACGCCCUAAACGAUGUGUGCUGGGCGUCGGGGGGCUUGCCCCUCGGUGCCGGAGCUAACGCGGUAAGCACACCGCCUGGGGAGUACGGCCGCAAGGUUA
rnacentral:rRNA from 1 species